GAUGAACGCUGGCGGCGUGCCUAAUACAUGCAAGUCGAGCGAACAGACGAGGAGCUUGCUCCUCUGACGUUAGCGGCGGACGGGUGAGUAACACGUGGAUAACCUACCUAUAAGACUGGGAUAACUUCGGGAAACCGGAGCUAAUACCGGAUAACAUGUUGAACCGCAUGGUUCAACAGUGAAAGACGGUCUUGCUGUCACUUAUAGAUGGAUCCGCGCCGCAUUAGCUAGUUGGUAAGGUAACGGCUUACCAAGGCAACGAUGCGUAGCCGACCUGAGAGGGUGAUCGGCCACACUGGAACUGAGACACGGUCCAGACUCCUACGGGAGGCAGCAGUAGGGAAUCUUCCGCAAUGGGCGAAAGCCUGACGGAGCAACGCCGCGUGAGUGAAGAAGGUCUUCGGAUCGUAAAACUCUGUUAUUAGGGAAGAACAAAUGUGUAAGUAACGAUGCACGUCUUGACGGUACCUAAUCAGAAAGCCACGGCUAACUACGU
rnacentral:rRNA from 1 species